UGGGGAAUAUUGCACAAUGGGCGAAAGCCUGAUGCAGCGACGCCGCGUGAGGGAUGACGGCCUUCGGGUUGUAAACCUCUUUCAGUCGGGACGAAGCGCAAGUGACGGUACCUACAGAAGAAGCACCGGCCAACUACGUGCCAGCAGCCGCGGUAAUACGCAGGGUGCGAGCGUUGUCCGGAUUCACUGGGCGUAAAGAGCUCGUAGGCGGUUUGUCACGUCGUCUGUGAAAACCCGAGGCUUAACCUCGGGCCUGCAGGCGAUACGGGCAGACUUGAGUACUGUAGGGGGGGCUGGAAUUCCUGGUGUAGCGGUGGAAUGCGCAGAGAUCAGGAGGAACACCGGUGGCGAAGGCGGGUCUCUGGGCAGUAACUGACGCUGAGGAGCGAAAGCGUGGGUAGCGAACAGG
rnacentral:rRNA from 1 species